AUCCUUUUUUGGUUCAUAAGCAUGAUGAUUGGGAACUUACGCCCAUGCGUGAUGUGUGCCGCCCACUAAACCUUGUUAUGACGUUGGCACAUUACCCGUCUGAUG